CCUGGAAAAUAGAAAUCUAAUAAGUUUUAUAUCAAUAUAUCCAACACUAUAAGACAGCUCUCGAACAAUUUCCUAUGUAGUGUUCUCUUGUCAAGCUAGGCUUAGAAAACUGUAAAUAUGAACCACAUAUUACGUAAUACGUACACAGAUGGAGAUAACAUGUUAUAUUGUGAAUUAGAUGGAGAAAUGAUCAGGUUGAUCGUUGCAAAAAUGUUUCGUCCAGACUAAAUUUGGCAACAUAAGCAUCUUAUGUACAAAACAAAUCACCUGAAUUGAUUCAUAACUAUGUCCAAGAUCUUGAUAGAUAGUGCCCAAGCCUAAUGCAAUGGUAAUGUAGACAGCCAGGCGCAACCAGUAGUAGCCUCGAUCUCGAUACAUGUUCAUGAAGGAUCUUCUUGUAAGUACGAAAGAUUGUGUAAGAAAGCCAGCAUGGCUUCUCUUCUCCAAUUCUUCACCGAAAUCCUAAAUUUCAUAUAAAUUUAUGUUAGUCAUAGAUUUUGGCCCCUCCCAUGAUCCUGGGAAUCAACUACCAAUUGAAAGGAUAAAUAAUUGGAGCUAUAUAUGAAUCUGAUUACUAGCCUAUACCUGCUUACAUAGUUCAGCUACUUGUCUUUGAACUUGCUGAUAACUUUCAGAUUCUUUAUAGGACUUUAUUAGAGUAUCAAUCGCUACUUCUGUCGGUGUGCGUCCAACCAUGCCUUGUUCAAUGUCCUAAACAAUGAACAGUUUGGAUCAUGAGAUUACAUUUGGGAUGGGCUCAAACGAGUCAUUAAUUAGCACGGUAUUAAUUACUAACCAAUGAGCGCUUGAGCACUCUUGAUUACCACAUAAAGAGAAAAGUUCCAAUCAAAUACGACUAGGACUUUACCCCAAAAAAAAAAAAGGCUUACCUGCUCAAAAUCUUUGUUUAUAGUCUUAAGGAAGUGAUCUGAUGGAUUUUGGAGAGUUGGGCAAGGGAAACCACAUAAAGAGAAAAACUGCAAUCAAUUGAAAAUAACAGCAGUUAACCCUACAGCUACGGAUCCGAAUUUAGAAAUAUUAAGCUAGGGAAAUUAAGCUAGUCACCUGAUUUGCUGCAGAAGCAGGGCCAAAAUAGACAGUUCUUCCGGCGGACAGAAGGCAAAGAUUGUCGAAAAGUUGGAAGACUUCAGAGCUAGGUUGAUGGAUGGAUGUAAUUACAGUCCUUGGAGUUCCAUCAGUUUUAUCCAGGUUUGCAAUUCUGCUCAUGACAUAAUAAGAAGCUGCACUGUCAAGGCCACUUGUUGGUUCGUCGAGGAAGAGAAGAUUUGGGCGUGUAAGAAGCUCAAUGCAAAUGCUGACUCUCCUCUUUUGUCCACCACUGAGGCCUUUAGAUCCCCACCCUCCAAUCCUUGUGUUCAUGGCAUCUUGCAAACCCAUCUCUCUUAUUGUGAUUUCUGCUCUCUCUUUCUUCUCUGCCUUGGACAUGGAGUCUGGCAAUUGCAACUGAGCUGAGUAGUAUACGGCUUCGCUGACCGUUAAAGUUGUGAUCAAAGUAUCAUCUUGUGUAACAUAUGCCUGUGUUGAUGAUAUUUAAAUUAUGAAAAGAGAUAUUGAAAGCUUUAUAAAUUACUCGUAUUUAUAUCUUCAUUAAGCCAAAAGAGAAAGGAAUUAUGAUAUAUAGUUCUUGAUCUUCCUACCGAAGUUCCAUAUGCCAGUGCUUGUUUUUGCCCAUUGAUUAAGAUAUUCCCUGUUUUCCUUGUGUUUGAACUCAAUCUCCCUGCAGUAUCAUGAGCACUUGACUUAAAAUUAGACCUGUGCUUAGGGUUAAUCCACACUAUAUAUAAUUAAAGAGUAAUGCUAUGUAGACACACAAUAUUGACAACAUUAGCUGACCACCUUAGUGUCUUUAGUUUAGUAACCACACAUCUGUAUAUAAAUUGAAUUUUAAUUUUUUAUAUAUUUUUAUUUGUAACAAUUGUGGUUCACGAAAUUUCAACCCCACACAGAAAAUAUCUCCAAUAGGUUGAUUUUUCUAGCUAUUAUUGGACAAAUAAAACAACGUUAAAUUUCCUAUUUUGUUUUAUUCUAAAUUAUGUAGUAACUACAGUACACUAUGAUUUGUUAUUUUGUACACGUUUUAUGAUAGUAGACUUAAAGUCAUCUUUUGCUUCAAAAAGUAAAUAGAUAGCGAAAUCUUUCACUGAGUGUAUACUUCUUUGUGAUUGGCAUUCUCUUUCACAUCACCCAUCACCACGUGAGGAGAACACAAAUAGGUAUACACUCACAUGCCGUGACGUCUCCUCUCUCUCUCUCUCUCUCUCUCUCUCUCCAUUUCUAUUAGGGAUGGCAAUGAGUUUUAACAGUAAGUUUCAUAUUAAUUUAUCAUUCAACACAUCCAAAUUAACUAUAAAGUUCAACUCAACUAUUCAAAAUCACUUCAAUAUGAAAUUCCAAAUAAGAUUAGGAAGAAUUAGGAGAGGGAGGUUAACUUAGAAUUAAACAUAAAUAUUAUAAUUAUAUAUAUUUAUUUAAAUAUAAACAUAUAUAUUUUCGGGUCGGGUUCGGGAAUGGGGACGCCAAUACCAUCCCCUCCCCCAUACCCAUCGAGGAUUUUUCAAGUUUGGAGAUUCCUGUACCCGAUACCCAUUUGGCCUCGAAAUCUCCCCCUGUUAGGGUAGGGGACUCGGCCCUUCAGGGAUUUUUGUCAUCCCUAAUUUCUAUAAACAAGCCUAUUCUAGUAGCUAAUCCAUAUCAGGGGCGGCCUGGCAUGGUACAAGUGGCGCCACUGCACAAGAUCCCCGAAUUUUUUUUAGUUUAUAUUAUAUAUAUUAAUAUUAUUAAAAUUAUAUAUAUUCUAGCGGGCAACACAUUGACACAUAAGUGUAUUUGGUUGUGUUGGUUUUUAUAGAAUAGUACCAAGCCCAGAUUUGAGUCUUAGUCAAUCUAUUUGUAUUUUCACAUUAGAUUAUAUGAGGACUCCAGUUUAAGUUUCGCAUAGGGCCCUCAAAAUCUCAUAAUCAACCCUGAUCCAUAUGCAUGAUUUUUCUAUUUUUAUUCUCAUGUCGGUGAAAACCAAAAUUUUGCUAACUAAUUAUUAAGUAAGAGUGUAUGAAUUGUUACCUCCUAAAGCAUCAAGAAGAGUAGACUUGCCACAGCCAGAAGGACCCAUUAUAGCCAAGAGCUCCCCAGGCCUGGCAUAACCAGUUACACCUUGGAGGAUUGAUCUUGAUCUGCUACCAUUUUCAUUCUUUGCCUUAGAAACCACAGUCACCCACAAAUCCUCCCACGUCAAGAAAACACCCUCUUCUAACUUCGGAUAGUUUUCGUUCUGGUUUCGGUUUCGAGCAGCACCCGUCCCUGACCUAGUUACAGUUGUAGUUCUAGGCAGUGGAUCAUUAUGGCCUACUGUUUCAACCUCCAGUACUGCUGUUCUAAUAUCAGCUGAUUCAUUACUAUAACUAUAUUCAUGUAGCGAGGUAGACGAAGCCAUAUAGCUAGGAAUUCAAUUUCACAGAGAGAGAGAGAGAGAGAGAGAGAGAGAGAGAGAGAGGUUUGGUUUAGUUUCUUGUUGGUGAAGUGCUUAAGGAGGAUCGAGGCCGGGUAUUUAAAGAAGCUUAAAGAGCAAUUAAACGUGAUUUACAUGAUUACAUAUUACUAAUAAAUGCAAAAGGACAAGAGUAGUUCGUAGAAUAACAGAAUAACAACGUCCACUCGUUGGCUAGUACCACACGACACCUAAAUUGGGAAGAAGUCAAGCAUUUUUUAAUGCAGAACUUUCAUUAUUCAACUUAAAUUUUUAAAUAAAUAAAAAACCAAAGCACUAGGAGCAGGGUGGACCUAUUAAGGCGUAAGAAGGUGCAGCUGCACCUUCCCUCGCCAGAAAAAGUAAAUGUCUUUGUCCUUUUACUUUUAUUUAUUUUUAUAUUACUCCAUUUACUUAAGUUUACAAUGUAAAUAAGGAAGUACCCCCCAUUUGGAUUCAAAUAAAAAUACUAGAAAAUCAAAUUCCCACCAAAUCAAAAUAUGAAAAUUCGGUUUUAGUGCAAAAUACGAUUUAGGCUAAAUAUGAUGGCUCAUUAAGUCAAUAUAUACUUUAUACUAAAAUCCUAUAAAAUCAAGUUUACUUAUUUGAUGUAUAAGGAAUAAAAGCCGCUAAAAAUUAUCUUGAGAAAAUGAUUAUUCUGAAAAACUAUUUUUCAUACUUAGUCAAUAUUGCACCUCCACUAAAAAAUUUCUGAGUCCGCCAGUGACUAGGAGUUCAUCUUUUUAAUAUAAAAUAAAUUAUUAGUCUAAUUAGUUAGUUGUUUAUCUUUUUUAUUAUCAUAACAAUAUAAGGUUAUUAUUUGAGAAUCACUUUGAGAGUGAUUUUAAGUAGGCCAAUAAUCAUUUUUUGGGAGAUACAUUUUGUCAUUUAAUUACUAUUAAGUGAUUUUAAGUGAUUUUAUAGAAUAGAAUCGCUUAGUAUGUGAAAGAUGCUUCUUUUUAUAAGUAAUUCUGACCAUCCUAUAAUCACUUCCAAACCAACCGUGAUAUAGUUUAUAGUAACAAAGAUUAAUCCAUGGGAAAUGGUCUUAGCUUAAGUUGUGAGAGUGGGUGUUAAAAUUAGAUAGGAUUAGAGAUUAAAUAAUUUUAAUAUUAUAUAAUUACUGUUUGAGCUUAAGUAAAUAUACUUUAAUAAAGGUAUAUUUUUAGGACAAUAAGUAUGCCAAAUUGAGCAAUUAUUCAUUAAACUAUUGUCGUUUGUAUGAACAAAUAAAUAUAUAAAACUAGUUCAUCAAUUCGAUUGGUAUUCUUGCUCAAGUGGUAGAAAAACAAAUAACACUUUUCUCAUCCCAGAUAGUCACACAUUAUAAUUGUAGGGGACCGAGAGAGAUAAACUUAGAGUGCUGUUAAACGAACUCUAAAAUUAAUUGAGUACACCUUAUAAUCUAAGUUAACUCUAAAAUUUUAAUCAAAAUGUAAAAUUAACUAAGUACACCCUAUUUAACUACCAAAAAUAGCCCUAGUAUAACACUCUAAUACCAAUCCUAAACCAGGUUUCUCUUUUUACAUGAAUCUGUGCCCUCUUUUCAGAUUUUGGGUUUCAUCAAAAUCUUUAAUUUCGUAAUACUAAUCCUAAACUAGUACUCGCUGAGUUAUUCGUGAGUACCAAGCAAUACGAAGACUUUUCUAUGUCUGAUAAGGGUUGAAUAUAGUGAGUAAGGUGUACUUAUUAAAAUUUUAUUUAUUUCACAAUUCAAUAUAUCCUUUUUGGUCAUUUUAUAUUAGGAUAAAUUAGUAAUUCAAUAAAUAGUUUGGUAGUAGAGUUACUAAGUUAAUUUUAGGAUUCGUUUAGUAGCACUCUAAACUUAUAGUCAUUCGACAUUAUGAACCUGCGAUGGACUUAUCCAAUAUAGGUCCCUACAUUUUCUAUUUUCUAUACAUAUAUCCAUCACUAUAUAAAUCUAUGUAUAUAGUCUAAUUUCAAACUUAAAUGACCAGUAGGAUAUAAGAGGUAAUAGUAUUCCUAUGUUUUUACAUAGUUGCCACCAGACUUCAUAUUUUAUUUAUAAUUUAUUUCAAUCAUUUCAUUAACUGCCAUAAUUGUAAUUAAUACUCCCUAUUAAUAGCAUACCAAUCACCCCAUUUAUUUUAGUUGUCAUUCCCUCUAACAUAUCGCCCCCUAAAAUUGCAAACAAAAAAAAAUCUGUAAAUUACAUAUUCAAUAAUAUACCUAUUAAAAAUAAAAAUAAAAAUAUAUACGUAUAAAAAUAUAGGUAUAUUAUUUACCAAAAAUAUUAAAUAACAACUAGGUUAGUCACUUUGUAAUUGAAAUUUCCGUACAUUUUUUAUAAAUUAAAAUAGGUACACAAUAAUUUAUAGAAAAUAGGUACAAUAUUAGAGAAAAAAAAAGGGUACAUUAUGUAGAUAAAAAAAUAGGUUCAUUAAAAAAAAAAAGUUUUUCAUAAAACAAACAAUAAAUAGAUUAUCAAAUUAUUUUUUAACAUAAUUAGAAUGUACACUAUUAUUCAUAAAACUAUAAUAAAAUAGAUUACUAAUUGUAUAAUUCAUAAAAGAAAAACAACAUAAUUUUUUUAUUAAAUAAACCAAAACGUUAAUCACAUAUAAAUUACUAAUACGGUAAUGCUGAAUUUAAUAUUUAAUUUCGAAUAAGUUUCUAAAUUAAUUCCUACAUCCAUUACAACUAUUUGGAGAUCUUUUCAAAUUGAACGUGUGUGUCAUUAGUUACACCUCUCACAUAACACGUUAACUUGUAAAUAUGGGUAGUUUUGGAAUUUGAUAAAUAUAAUAAAUCAAAUUUUAAGCUAGAUUAGAUAACUUGCUUACUUGGAUUCUUAUUUGAAAAAAUUGAAUAUUUAAAUAGAAAUUAAAAAAAGAAUUGUAGGUGGACACCAAACCUUCUCGUACAUUUUAAACCUUGCAAACUUUUGACCGAGUCUACCUACGGACAAUCAAAAUCAACAAAAUAUCUGCACCUCUUCAUGGACACCAAACAAGUAUCAAUCUGUUGAAAUCCACCCUCACAUCUUCAUGGACAAAAAAUGUCGACUCACACACACUAACUGGCCACCAUAUAAACAGAUUGUCAGCACAAUGUGUGGUAGGAGUUAGAGAGCCACAGUGGCCCCUACAUUUGCGCCAUUUUGUUCUUGGCCCUACAAGUUCAAAAUACGCCAUAGUAGGAAAGAUGACACCUCAUGGGCAGCCGCCUAGGGCCACUAAAUUGGGAGGAACUCUAAUUUUUAUGAACUCUAUAUAUAUACUAUACUACUUUAUAAUAAUAAAUAGUUAUAUAUAUAAAAACUAUAUUAUGCCUAAUUAUUCAAUAUUCCAAAAUAAAGAAUCACGCAAAUAAAAAGAGACUCAGCUAACGGACCUAAUCGAGUAGAAAAGAAUGUUGAAUUACAGAUUAGUUAUCUUAAGUUCAUAUUCUCAAUUCUCAUGUACUUUAGUAAGAUGUGUGAAAAAAAUUCCCUCCUCCUUUAUAACUUCGGCAAAACAAAGGCCCAAUUGUUCAUUAAAUUCAUAGUCUAAAUCAAUUAAUCUAGUACAUUUAAGAAAUAAAACACAUCUAUGUCAAGUUCUAAUAUCUGAACUCUUCAACAACAAACACUUAUUGACUUCACCCAUUUUUUCUCAAUAAUUCAAUCAACAUUGAAGUCCUAAUAGUUUAACAUGCAUGAUGAUUGACCAUUUAAAAAAAAAAUCAAUAUGAUGUUUUUUUCUUUCUCUUUUAUUAAUUUUAUGCAUAUAAAGAAUAGGGAUUUGGGAAAUAAAUUUAAAAUUUACAAAUGCUUGGUUAAGAUUCUCAUUUUUGAAGAAGUUUCUUGUCGAUAUGGGUAACUAAGUAUGUCGUACUAGAAUUUGAUAUAUUUGAUAAAGAAUUUCACUAAAAAUUUCCCCCUUCUUGUUGAGUUGCAGUGUGGAUUAUAUGUUGUUUGUUAAUUUUUUAUUAUUAUCUUACAAUCUUCAAAUUGAGGUCAUAAAUAUUUUUUUCAAAGUAAGAACAUAAAAAAGAAUAAAAUACAUGAGUAUCGUACAUAGAGGAUCGAGGGCCACAAUUUUGUGGUUUACCCAGGGCCUUCAACUUCGUAGGGACACCCAUACGUGAACAUAUAAGAAAUUUCUCAUUUCUUACGCCAGCGAUGUGCGACUAUAUAUACGUCAUGUUCAAUGUGUAACACACCACAUGUUAUGUUCAAUGUAUAACACACCACAUGUCAUGUUCAAUGUGCAACACACCACAUGUAAUGUUCAAUGUGUUAGGUAUCUCACAAUAAAUAGGUGAAUGAAUGUGUUUUGGGGUCAACCCACAUGACUUCUCUGAAUCUCCAAAGCAUAACCUGGGGCCACACACUUCUCUUUAGGGUGUUAAGACCACCAGGCCACUUAGGCUUCCAAAUACACAUAUGUGAUUAUAUAAUAAUUAUUUAGGACAUAUUCACAUUUUGGGGGAACACUAUCAGGUUGUGUAAACUCUCCCCCAGUCUCUCCCACAGUCUUUGAUUUCUCCAUUCGAGAAUCUUUGUGUGUUUUGUAGAUCAAUAGAGCAAAAAAGCAUAAUUCAUGCAAUUCAAGCAUGUUAAGACCUGAUUUGGAUGAAUGGAAGAAGAGCUUAAAGACAAAUCCAAUAUGAGUUACACUCCCUUGUUAGUCUAGUUUCGUAUGUCACAUUGCAGGCCUUAUUUCAGCAAUCUACACAGCUCAAAUGAGGAGACAUUCUCAAGUAAAGUUGGUCCAAUGGGUCUCUACUACAACAUAUCCAAAAUGGAGCCUAAUUGGAAGUAUAUGGAGUCCUCUGCCCACUAAACACUGAAUCGUGCUCAGGAGGAAUUUUGUCUGCGCAAUUUAUUUCGGCCUUAACUUCUUCCUUCGACCUUGGAUUGGCCUAAAUGACAUGUUGUUGGAAAGAUGACAUUCUAAACUUCAAGAUGGAGUGCUCAAAGUCGUCAUUUGCUUAAGGAAAUCCUAAUUCGUGAGCCCUUGAAGUUGCUGGUCAUGCUAAUCUAAGGAUGAGCUAAGUGUGCUUGGUCAUUCUAACCUAAGCAUGAGGUAUUAUUGAUGGUGAGGAAGUUAGGUGAAGCAGAUUCGUUGCUUAGAAUUGGAGUGGAGUUUUGCAAUAGCUAAAAGAAAUAAAAGAAGAUGAAGUGGGAGUUGCAGCACUAAGCCUAAAGAGAAGAUAAAUUGUUUUCCAAUGCAAUUGUGUGGUAGGUGAAGUGGGUGUGGUUGGUGAACUCAAUAUCCAAAUCAGAAUUUCUACUCACCUUAACCCUAUAAAUAGAGAGUCUUCAAGGAGCUGGGAAGUCAAAAAUUCAGAUAUUCAUUCAUAUUUCAUCACACUGUACACAAAGAGAGGGAGAGUUGAGAGUCACAAAGGGAGAGAAAAGCCAUGGGGAUGAAGUUGUUCCAUCUCUAGCAUGUUGUCCCCAUCUUCUUCUCCUCCCUUUGUCUUUUAUUUUCGUCUUGUAUUUCCUUAGUUUUACUUUGUUUUAAUAAACACCAAGAUGAUUUUAAGUUUUUGAAGUUUGAUUGGUUUCCAAGUUUCAAUUUUAGUUAUUGUUCUUAUUCAUUACGCUUAUCAGUUGAUAUCCUUGUUUGAAUGUUUGAUCACCAUUUAAACUUGUAUGUUACCUAUCUUGGCUGGAAUUAAGAGUAGACAUCAUAUGCCUUAAUUCCAAUUGAACUAUGAAUAGGAAGAGUGUGUAUGGACAUUCAACAAUAUGGAUUAGAUACAUACUUGGGUGUUUAAAACGUUCUUCUAUACUUAAUGGAUUUCUAUUGCUUAAUUUACGUUCGACAACAAGGAUCUAAUUAGGGAAUUAUGAAGACAAGGUUUAGACCAGACACCAAGGCUAAAUUAUACAUUAGAGAGAUUCAAUCUUUUUACUUGAAUUGAACUUGUUAACUUGAUUACUUGAGACUUAGAAUUGUAUUGUUCCCUAUCUCUUUGCAAUCUUUAAGCUUAGUUUCCAUUUCUGUUUUGUGCAGGGAAUCGAAUUGAAUCAAUUUAUCAUCAAUCCUCGUGGGAUCCGUUGUAAUAACCCAAACCUUAAUUAAUAUUCAAUUAUUAAACUAUUAAGAGGAAAGGACAAUUUUGCCCUUAGAAUAACUUAUUAAGGGAAAAGUUGACUUUUUGACAGAGAAAGAAUUAGACAAUUCCACAUGCACCGUUGUGUAGAGAGCGACGAAACGAGUCCAUAGACACGUAGUGGGCUUGAAUCGGAGUUAUAACGAAGAAAAUACGGUCAAAAUACGUAGAGGGGUAAAAUGGUAAUUUUUGUAACCAGAAAUUUUAAACCCUCCUUUCUCUCUCUCCUGUCGCAUAGAACACCCCCUCCCCUUCGAAAAUUCAGCUCCAGCCGAACCCUUCCCUCCACCCUAGCCUCUGCCACUGACCACCCCAAGCUGCAAGAUCGGAGCCAAAACGAUUGGCCAAGCCAUGCCAUCAACCUCAGCCCACCCUGACGCCAGUCGCCGCCAUGGUGCUGCCGGAAACCACCAAAAUCGCCCUGGAUUUGGGUCGAUUUUUCACAGCUUCAUUCUCUCUCAUUUAGCCACCAAAUCGGAUGAUCAAGGUAUGGGUUCUUAGCUAUUUUUCGUGACCUAGCAGUUGGUUGGGUAGGAUCUCAGAAAUUUCUAGUGUAGAUACCUUGAUUUUCAAGUUAGGUUUCAGUCGAUUUUGAGAGCAUGAUUUCAGGCACUUUUAGCCACUUUUCGGGAUAGGUCUAAGAACAAAAGUGGUUUCCAAUAGGGUGUUUUACCUAAGGUAAGAGUUUGGGCCAGCGAUUUGGAGUUUUUCCAACCGCCAGAAAUUUAUCAAGCCACCCAAGCGCUGCCGGUGCUUGGGCAGUUUAGUGGGGACCACAUUUAGUCCUACAAUAAUCCUCGUGUUGUCACGAGCGCGUAGGAAUUCACAGAUCUAAAUUCGGAUAACGUUUGAACCCCGAACGGAUCUCGCAUAUUGUAUGAUUUCCGAGUUCAAUAUAUUUGAGCCGACGGAUCGUAGUCAUUUUCAGAUAUGUUAAUCUAGACAAUUCUAGGAUCGUUUAGGAUUCAACGGAUAGUGAAUCGGAGUCCCGGAUACUCUGAAAUUGUGAACCCUAGGGUUGAGAUUUUAGGAACCGCUUGAUCGUGACCAAUCCAACCGUCCAAUCAAGACCAGACUCACAGGACAUGUGUCCUAAGUAUAAAGGGAUGUUAAUGUGGGCAUAGGAAUGACUUUAAUUUGAUGCACGACUUCUAGGAUCCAGGGGUCAGGGUUUUUAUGUAAUUAUUAUAUUGAGUAAAUAUAUUAAUAUAAUAGUAUGAUAAUUGAAUCAGGCACCCGAGCGCCAGUUGACCCUCAGGAGGGACCUUCAAAAUGUCCAGCGAGCUCGGACUAACUGUGAGUGGACUCUUUGUUUUCAUAAAUGAAUUUAUGCAAUUCAGUUAUAAGAUUUGAUCUUGAAUAAGUUUUAUUUAAAGAUUAGUGCUUUCAUAAUUUGAUAUGUGCUUUUAAAUAUUUUAAGUUAUAUGCUGCCAAGUGAGAUAUUCUUUGAGGAUAUAGAAAAAGAAAUUUUAGCUAAAUAACAGAUAAAUGGCAGCAGAGUUUUAGAUUGAAUAGAAAUUCAGUUAUUCAUCAUAUUUUUCAGAAAGUUUAUAUUUUCUUAAGCCACCUUAGGUACCCAAAUAUAAAUAUGUUGCCUUUGGAUAAAUUGGUUGCCUUCAGUAUUGCCUUUCGGAUUUUACUAGUUACCUUCGCACUACUACAAAAAAGCAAAAAGACGACGGUAAAUCACCGUCGUGUAUUGGAUUUUUCAAUGGUCGUGGAAUCCACCGUCAUCUUUUCCCUCAUAAACCACGACGCUAAAUAACCGUCGUUGUUAAAAUAUACAACGUCAUCAACAAAUACAAAACGACGUCUUUGUACUGCAAAAAGAUCUAAAAAAAGCAAUCAAGGAUGAUAAUAGACGACCAACUCUCUAAAAAAACCGUCGUUAAAAAGGAAAAAUAUGACACAGAACAAGGCCGCAAGAUAGACAUACAACGAUGAAAAUACAAAUACGACGACGUUAAAUAUAAUUUUCACGACAAUAAAAAAUAUGACGUCUUUAAAUACAUUAGAAGACGACGUUAUUGAUACCUACUACGUCGCAUAUAUAAAAACAACUGUCGUAAAAUUAAUUUUCCACUACGAUUUUUCGAUAAAAGAUGACGUGGAAAUAGUUGUCAGUGUCAUUAUUUACGACGUAUAUGUUAAUAGAGUAGACGUUGAAAAACUAAACAACGUCGGUAACAAAUAUAUGAGAGUCGUAUUACAAAAUUUAUACGUCCUAUUUUCAGAAACAAACAACGACGAUAAAUAUUAGACGUUGUUAAAUAAAACAACGUCGGAAAAAAAUAAAAACAGACGUGUUUAGUCUGCUAAAGUUCUAGAAAAUAGUCGAGGAUGAGAAUAGACGACCAACUCAAAAAAAUCACUGUCGUUAAAAAGGAAAAAUAUGACACAUAUUAAAAGAACAAGGCCGCAAGAUAUACAUACAACGACGACAACUAAAAUACUACGCCGUUAAAUAUAAUUUACCCGACAAGAAAAAAUAUGACGUCUUUAAAUACAUGAGAAGACGACGUUAUUGAAAUCUACAACGUCUCUUAUUUACAAAAAACCGUCGUGAAAUAAAUUUUCCACUUCGAUUUUUCUAAAAAGGAUGACGUGGAAAUAGUUGUCAGUGUCAUUAUUUACGACGUAUACAUUUAUAUAGUCGACGUUGUAUUUAUAUGUAUUCAUUACUCACGACGCACUUAAUAAUAUAGACGACGUUGAACUUCUAAACAACGUCGGUUCCAAAUAAAUGAGAGCCGUAUUACAGAACAUAUAGACGGCGUAGAUUAUGAUGAGAGCCGUAUUACAAAUAACGUCGUUUAAUUGUUAUUAGACGGCGGUUAUAAUGAAUUUCCGUCGGAAUUCAUUUCGUUCCUCUUCGUUUAUAAAAGAACUUGCGACGUGGAAAAUGUAUGAUGACGUCGUAUUUUUUAACGUUCAGAUUAUAUAUCUCGUUUUUUAGACGUCGGUAUUAUGGGAUUGGAGUCGUGUUAUUCUGAAUUACAUGGCGGUUCUUAAUCCUUCACCGACGUGAUAUCCUGAAUAAUUGCUUCACAAUAGCGUCGUGGUUCUUCAUUGUUACGUUGCUUUAAGACGUCGGUAAAUAUGCUGAAUAACUGAUUCACAAUAACGUCGUGUUUUAUUUGAACGUAGAAAGUGAAGAAAUCACAUUACAAUAUAUUACAAAAUUAAUGUCAUACACUGCCAAUUACAUAAGCAUCAUUCAAUCCAUAUAUCUUCACACCCAUCUCGAAUAUUUUGACCGCCUAACUCACCUACCAGUUCAUCAAAUGUGUCAACAUUUGGCAUCCCUCUAGUAAAUGGCUCACACUCAAUUACCACAUCACCUAAUACUUCAUCACCAAUAACAUCAUUAUAUUCUCUAUUAGGCAUUGAUAACACUACCGACCAACCACGAUGCAUCGGGUCGUCAACAAAAAAUAUUUGUUUGACUUGAGAAGCCAAAACAAAUUGGUCAUUCCUAUGUCCAAUUUUACUCAAAUCUACAAGGGUAAAUCCAAGUUCGUCGACUACAAGACCAGAACUAUCUAUCCAAUCACACCUAAAGACUGGGAUUGUAAACUUUUGGUAGUCAAGGUCCCAAAUUUCUUGAAUGACACCAUAGAAACCCAUAUUUGAGAGAAUUGAGUUUUUAUCCUUGGCACUAGCAACUUGCAUGGUAUGUGCAAGUAAAUAAACUCCACUAUUUUGAGUUGUCCGCACAUCAUCUUGUGCCUUGAUAUUGAAUUUAAUACCUUUAAUAAGAUAGCUCCUAUAUAAUGGCACUGACAUGUUUGGACCAGCUGCUAGCCACCUUAAAUUUUCUGAUACGCCAUGAUUGUCUUCCUCAAGUUCACUUUGAACCUGCAAAUUAAUCAUAUCUUAAUUCAAUCUAACAUAUAAAUAAGAAGAAAAUUAAAAGAGAAAUAUGUUAUUCAACAAUAUAUACCUUGAAGCGUAGCCAUUGAAUGAAAGUGCUAUUGUGCUUAUCCUGCAGCCACUUUGUUCUCUUUCUAAAUUUUGGAUAAGCAGUCUUGAUGUGAAUCAUAUGUUGCCUACAUGACACGAAAAAUUCAAGCAUUACCGUCCUAAAUAUAGAAGAUAAACAUAAGAAAUAAUUUAAAAUGGAAACUUAAAGAAUAAAGCUCAUACGUACUCGAUAUAAGGUAGGACUUCCUCCGUAUUCUCCAAGACAUAUAGAUGUGCUUGAUUCAACAGGUCCUGAUCAACUACGCUCACUGUGCAACCUGAUAAUGGCUUUGAAAGUCCCAUCUUUUGGCUUGAAGGCACUCCAACUGUACUAACAUAAGAUAAAUGCUGAGUACAACACUCUACCGCUUCUUCAGCUAUAUACCGCUCAGCAAUGCAACCUUCGGGACGAGUACGAUUCUGAACAUACCCCUUCAGCACUUUCAUAUAUCUUUCAAACGGAUACAUCCACCUAAAAUAUACUGGCCCACAUAGACGAACUUCUCUGACAAGAUGUACUACUAGAUGAACCAUGAUAUCAAAGAAUGAAGGGGGAAAGUACUUCUCAAGCAAACACAGAGUAACUACUACAUCUUCUUCCAACUUAUCUAGCUUGGAAACAUCAACAGUCUUUGCACAUAUAGCAUUGAAGAAGAAGCACAAACGAGUUAUUGCAUACCUUGCAGGCUUCUCCAAAACAGAACGAAUUGCCACAGGGAGCAAUUGUUGCAUUAAGGUAUGACAAUCAUGUGAUUUAAGGCCAAGAAGUCUUGAAUCUUGUAAAGAUACAAGAUUUUUAAUAUUUGAAGAAUAACCUUCAGGGACCUUCAUACCAUAGAAAGAAUUGCAAACCUCUCUCUUCUCUGCUCUUGACAAAUUCCAAGGCCCAGGAGGCAAACGAGUACGUCUUUCUCCAUACUCGGGUUGCAAAUCAGUUUUGACCCCCAUGUUCAAUAAAUCUAAUCGAGCAGCAAUCCCAUCUUUAUUUUUUUCAGGGAUCUCCAGCAAUGUACCAAUAAUACUAUCGCAAACAUUCUUCUCAAUGUGCAUAACAUCUAGGGCAUGCCUCACAGGAAGGUAUUUCCAAUACUCGAGAUCAAAGAAUAUUGAUUUCUUCUUCCAACAAACUCUGUCACCAUUUUCAACCAUAUGCAGCACUUCUUCUCCGGUUAAUGGCUCGGGAGGUAUGCCAUAUUCAAGUUUCCCAUUAAAAGCUGCACGUUGCCUCCUAUAUGGAUGAUUGAUUGGUAACCAUUUUCUAUGCCCAAUGUAACAAAUUUUGUGGCCAUUUUUCAACCUGUGACUAGGUGUAUCAUCGCCGCAUAUUGGACAAGCUUUAUAUCCUUUAACAACACAACCAGAUAAGUUUCCAUAGGCGGGAAAAUCAUUAAUUGUCCACAUUAAUGCAGCUCUGAGUGUAAAGUAUUCUCCAUUAUGUGCAUCAUACACUCCUCUAAUCCCAUCCCACAAAGAUUUUAAAUCAUCAAUCAAAGGCUCCAAGUAGACGUCUAUAUCAUUUCUGGGUUGUUUAGGACCGGAAAUCAAUAAGGUUAACAUCAUGAACUUUCGUUUCAUGCACAGCCAUGGAGGGAGAUUAUAUUAACUAAGAUAACCGGCUAACAACUAUAUCUGCUACUUAGAGAACUGUGGGGAUUGAAUCCAUCAGAUGAAAGAGCCAAUCUCAAGUUUCUCGGCUCAUUACCAAACUCAGGCCAUUUAUCAUCAAGAAGUUUCCAAGACGGGGAAUCCGCCGGAUGAGACAUCUGACCGUCAAUUGAUUUUCUAGCAGCAUGCCAAGUCAAACUCUUAGCUGUCUCAUGUGAUUGAAACAUCCUUUUAAACCUUGGAAUUGGAGGAAAAUACCACACCACCUUCGCUGGCACACCCUCUUUCAAGAUUGAAUCUUUGCCUUCCUUCCACCUUGAGAUACCACAAGUAGGACAAUUAGUUGAAUUGUCAUACUCCUUCCUAUACAAGAUGCAAUCAUUGGGGCAUGCGUGCAUUUUCUCAUAACUCAGCCCCAAUGCACACAAAGUCUUUUUAGCCUCAUACAUAGAGGUUGGUAUUGUAUUUCCUUCUGGAAGCAAAUCGCCUUGAAGUAUCAAUAAUUCUGUAAAACAGACAUCACUCAUCCCAUGUUUUGCCUUCAAAUUAUACAACUUCACUAAUGCCGAUAACUUCGUGUACUUUCUACAACCAGGGUACACUGGUUGAUCUCCAUCCCCAAUCACAUUGGCAAACUCAUACGGAUCGGAACCAAAAUCAUUAUCAUCCAUAUCAAUUUCUUCAGACACAAAACUGUACCUACUAUGGCCAUCAUCUUCUUCAACAUUUCUACUAGCAUUAGUAGUUGCUUCCCAAGGUUCUCCGUGAAAUGUCCAAUUCUUAUAGCUUUGGUCAAUUCCAUUAAAGUAUAAGUGAUCCCUUAUAAUUCCAACCCCAAACAACUUCAAAUUAACACAUUUAACACAUGGACAACGGAUAUGUGUUGUAGUUAGAAGAUUUUCUACAGCAAAGUUCAAAAAUGCUUCCACCCCAAACUCAUAUGCCUUCGAUCUUCUAUCCGAGUGCAUCCAUGACUUAUCCAUCUCCGACACUAUAACCUAUUAUAUAUAAUAAAGUGAAAAUACAGGCAAUGACCAUCACUAUAGCAGAUUAUACAAAGAUCUAAUAGCAAGUAAUACACAACAGAGACGACGGGUUUUAAACAAAAACAGACGUAUUUGGCAUAUAUAGACGACGGAUUUUCAACAGACGUCGUCUAAUAUAAGUAAUACAAACGACGGUUUAUGAAAACACCGUCGUGUAUAAUUAAUACAACGACGGUUUUUUCAUAAACCGUCGUGUAAUCGUCGUCGUAUGCCUAAAAAGGCAUCGUGUCUCAGUUUAUUUUCAAGAACCCAAAACCCAUUAAGAACACAACAUAUAUAUGAAACCAAGCAAGAAAACAACAUAUACAUGAAACCAAGCAUGAAAACAAUAAAUCCAUUCCCAAUUCAACAUAACAUAGGGUGAUUAAAAGAUCCGACAAAAUUAAAUCCAUUCCCAAUUCAACAUAACAGAUAAUGUAAUCCAUGAACCCAUUAAACAGAAAAUCCAUGAACCCAUACUUAUAAGCACAUUAUUAACAGAUCACAAAGCAUAUACCUAAAACCCUUUAACAAAACAACCUAAUAUCAUUCAAUGAAUUUACAAGGGGAAGAUAGGGUUUGUACUUACAGGUUGGACGAGCUCACAGAUUCGACGGAGCAGAAGUGACAGAGCAACUUUUAAUUAGAGCAGAAGUGAGAGAGCGAAAUGUUAUGUUGCACGAAAUCUGAAAAUUUUAGGGUUCAGGGUUAGAAGAAUAAGAAUAAGAGCCAAAUAUAAAAAAAUUUAGGACGCGCGAAAAUUUUUAGAGCGCGCGCUCUUUAAAACGUCGAAAGAAAAACCAUGACGAAAGUUCUACAAGAACCGACGUAAAUGUAAUAUUCAACGACGGAAACACUGAACGUAACGCCGUUUAUUUUGACGCUUCAUUUUUUGGAUUAAUUUUAAAUUUAUUUUCAAUAUUUUGAUAUAAAGACGACUGAAAAACCACGUCGGGGUUAAGAAAUUGAAAACGUUGUAAAUAAUAAUACACGACUUACAUAUUAAAAUGACGUCGUUUAACGCAGAAACCAUGUCGGAUAAUUUACUGGACGACGUAACAUAUGUAUUCCACGACUCAACCACCGUCGUUAAUAAUUAAUACCCUAAACCCUUAAAACUAAAUUAUAUAAUUUUAAAAAUUAAGUUUAUAAAAGGGUUUAUGGUUUUACAGCCUAAUAUAUACCCUAGACUACCCAAAAAUUAUACUUUAAAAAUAAACCCCAAUAAAUAACAACCCUAAUCUCUAAACCCUAGACUCUAAACCCUAAACCAUAAAACUAGAAGUGAUUUUAUGACUCAUCAAAACAAUUUUGUUUUGGAUGUUCAUUUUAAAUUUUUGUUAUUCAAAAUGAAUUUUUUCAAGCUUUAGGGGGAAGAAAAUAUAUCAAUGACUUCAUAGGAGUUGACUUUGCAUUUUUCUGAUUUAUUUUAAAUUUAUUUUGAAUAUUUUGAUAUAAAAAUAAUAAAAUAUUCUUAUCACAACAACAAACCACGUCGGUGUUAAUAAAUUGUAGACGUUGUAAAUUGUAAGAGACGACUAAGUUGUUAAAAUGACGUCGUUUAAAUGAGAAACGAUGGCGGAUAUUUAACUAUCCGACGUAAAAUAUAUAUUCCUCGACUUAACCGCUGUCGUUACAAAGUACUACCCUGAACCCUUAAGAAAUUGAAGACGUUGUAAACCAUAAACGACUCCAUUGUUCAAAGAACGUCGUCUAAAUAUCCUUUUACGUCGGAUUUGUUUAAAACGAAACCACAAAAAACGACGGCUUUUGACUUUAUUACGUCGUUGGAAAAUUAUUACACGUCGGUAACGUAUUUUGUAUGUUUGUUUUUGUUUUUACUUUAAGAAAACCUCAACAAAUUUUUACAUUAUAUAUUAUAGACAAAAUUUGUACAUUAUACAUAAAUAUCAAGUGUUCAAUAAUUCCCCUAUUUAAGUUGAAGGCAAACAAACUCUGCCCAUUCAUUCCGGACUUCAUCAAUUGCUUCUUGGGGGUAUGGCUCUUCCUGUUUUCCCUUCGCAUACUGCAUAAAAACAAUGACUAUUAGGGUUUAUAAAUAAAAGGAAAUUCAAUCACAGACGACCAUAACCGACGUAGUAUAUCUAUUCAACGACGGUAAUUUUACAUGACCGUCGUUGAUAAUACAAAAAACGACGUAAAAUGUUUGAAGGUUAUUUCUUCUUACCUUCUUCUCAAACCCCAAGGAAGGAUCCAUGAUGAUGUCCUUCAUGAAGCGCAUCACGUAAUACCCGCAUUCGACAUUGCUGGGUUGCUUUGGUGUGCCUGACAGAGUUUUCCAAAUGACUGCCUUACGGCCUGAUCUGGCUAUGUGGGAAUUAUAAAUUUUUAUGGCACUGUUCACGAUGUUUUUGGCCUCUUCAUCGACCACACGAUAUCCUGGCAGAGGAUCCAGAAAAUAGACUGUUUCCCUCUUUGCUCUUACAAUCAGCAAGAUCCAAUGACGGCUGCACAAAAUUAAUAUAAAAACGACGGUUAUUUACAAAAACGACGUAUUAUAAUAUUUCACACGACGAAAUAAAGUAGCAAUCGACGACAUUAUAUAUUUAUCACGACGAUAAAUAACUACCGACGUGGUUAGUCGUUUCAAACGACUCAAUAAAAUAAAACACCGACGUGGUUAGUUUAUACGCUGUCAUUUAUUGAAAAUCAUAAAAACAAAAUCCUGUUAAGGAGACUAACCCUGGAUUGUAAGGCAUCAGGAAAAUCUGUUCACCGUCAGUCUUCUGAAGUCGUGAUGCUACCAUUCGUGAUCUGUCAGCUAUUGUGCCAGAGCUGGCACUAACUGUAGCAGGGUCGAUAAAGCCAACCAUUGUGCACAUAUUUGCUUGUUUUAAAACAUCGUGUAAGUACCUAAAUAUAUAAAAUAAUAUAAACAAGUCAGCGCAAAAAAAACACACGACGGUUAUGUAUAACAAAACGACGUAUUAUAAGGUUUCACACGACGUACUGAAAUAGACAACGACGUUAUAAUAAAUUUAUCACGACGGUACAUACUAACGACGUGGUUAGAUAGUUAAGACGACGCAAUAAAUAAACCAACGACGUAUUAUUUUAGAAUGACAAACCUCAUAUAUACAGCAAUGACUGUAGCUCCUAUUUCCUCCAUGCCUGCAAAUUGUGUAAUAUCUUCAGGCAGGAGGAAGGUAUCGCGCUCUAGACCAAAGACCUCCUUAUCAAUUGUAAAGUGCAGGGUCUUAUCCUGAGGCACGAGUGUCGUUUCCACAUAACGACAAAGGGUUUGUAAAGAAGAUGGCGCCUCCAUAUUUGAAUAAUCAACAACUUUAGUAACCUGUUUAAAGAAAUAAAAAAAAUGACGUGGUAAUUCAAUAAAAACGACGGUUUAAGGAAUAAAACGUCGUCUGAAAACAAUUUAAACGACGGUGAAACAACCGUCGUGGUGAAUUAUUUAUUACGUCUUAGAAAACAAUUCCGCCGUCUAAGUUGUAAACAAACGACGGUUUAAAGAAAAAUAUCGACGUCUGGAAUUUUGAAAAACAAAUAAAAAAGGCAAAGUUAUGUGAACAUACCUGGUCGUCAUCUUCUUUCUGCUUUUCAUCUUGUUUUUCUUCUUUAUUCUCUUCAUCUAUGACGUCGGGAAUGAUUAACUCCGUCGUCUAAAAACCACAAAGUUUUAAAAAUAACGACGUUUAAUGGCGUGUAAAACAAGUAAACUAAAUACGACGUGGUAUUGAAAUACAAACGACGGUUUAUUUUUAAAAUCGUCGUGGUAUGUAUUUCAAACGACGGUUUUAUUAAUAAUAACGACGCUAAUGGUUUUUAAAAAAACAGACAAUUCAAAGUUCAGAUAUGUUACCUUUUCUUCCUGAUGUUUCCCAUUUUUGGCAGUAUCAUCCUCAAAAUGCUGGGAUCUCACAUCACCUCCAGAGCAGCUUGCUUUGUCAGGCAUUGGAUUUUUGGGACUUUGGCUAAUUCUGGGUUUAAGCAUGCUUGGAUCAAAAUUGGGAAUUAAUUGGGAAAGCUGACUCAGGAAAUGCUCCCUCUCAGCCUCUACCAAUUGUUUCGUUCUAGCCUCCAUCCUUAAAGCCUCUUCCCUUGCCUUAGCCUCCAUCUUUCUAGUCUCUUCUUGAAGGAGAACUCUUAAACUGUCCUUCAAACGGUCGUCAAAGCUCACUCUCUGUGGUUUGGGUAAAUUGAAAUAUUGCUUUGGUGAGAUCCCAGCACCUACUCCUCUGACUCUGCCUGGAUGCUCGGGGCCCAAAGCCAUGGUCAGCACAUCAUUGCUGCCAGAGACGGUGACUUUGCCUUCCGAGACUUGUUUUUGCAAAUCAUCCUGAAACAAAGAUAUAUAAAAAAGUAAGAACAAAAACACACGACGGUUAUUUAUAUACAAACGACGUAUUAUAUAAUUUCACACGACGCAAUAACAUAUAAAUCGACGUUAUUAUAAUUUAUCACGACGGUAGUUAUAUCGACGUGGUUAGAUUUUUAAAACGACGAAAUUAAUAAACCACCGACGUCUUAUGUAACAGAGGGAUGAUUCAAUACUCACACCUUUAACGACGUUGUUUAAAACAUUUCGACGUAGUAAUUUAAUACAGACGACGCGAAAUUGAACCACCGACAUCUUAUGCUAUAAUUACAGAAAACAGAGUUGUGAUUCCUAUUUAGACCUUUAACGACGUGUUUUAAAAAAUGUCGACGUGGUAAUAUCAUUCACACGACGCAAAAUAUAACAUAAGACGUAAUAAGAAUUAUUCACAGUUUAAUAAAAAUUUAAAACAGAGUGAGUAGGCUUACAAUUAAUUUUGCUUUCUCUGCCACCUUUGGAUCAGGGAUGUUACCAUGUUUGUCCUGUCUAGCUCUCUUCCAUAAGGUAGAUCGAUCAAUUUCUACCCCAGGCAUGGUUUCCUCUAAUUGAUCCUCCAAACCAGCAUAUCCUUUUCGAGACUAUCGAUGAUUGUACUCGAGUUUCUCCCUAAUCUGUGCAUGUUGAGAAUGCACAGACUCAAAAUCUUUGGAUAGCCUUGAAGCUACAAAGGCAUCCCAUUGUGCUUUCUCUAUGAAUUUAUAUGUUUCAGGGGGUUGGCUUAAUCUCUCCCUGUCAUUGGUGUAUGGAAGGAUAUAAUGCCUCAUUAGUGUAGACUUGAAAUCCUUCCAUUUCUUGGCAGCAGAAGCUAAGACAGAGUUCUUGCCCCCUUGACCUACUACAAAAGCAAUGUCAACUGCUUCCCAAAUCUGCUCCUUUAUAUCCUUGGGGAUUUGAGCCCAUUUCAAGUCCACAAGUGGGACUCUGGAGCGUGCCAACACACCAAUAUAGGACUGCAUCUCACUGUGUGCUUGGCCAAUUCCUUUCCCCCUUUUAUUGUACUCAACAAUUGGCCUCAGUUUCUGAAGUUUUCUCUUCACAACACGAGGCAUUGUGCUCAUACCUCGACCAGCCUUUGAAUCAUCAGAGAUUGUUGUCGCGCUGGUUGGUUCUGUAUCAGCAGAUGAUGAAGCAAACUUCAUCUUCUUCGAAGACUUCAUUAUCUUCGAAGACUUCUCUUGAGGAGGUACUUGCUCCUUACCUCCAUUUUUGUUGGAGCCAGAAUCCUUACUUUGGUCUUGGUGAGAAACCAUUUUUACAGACAAAACUGAAAGUGAAAAUAUUUCAAGAAAAGAUUAAGAACACAAACGACGGUUAUUAAUAAAAGACGACGUAUGAUAUGAUUUUAAACGACGCAAUGAAAUAAUAUCAGACGUAAUAAAUGUUUAAAACCAAGGUAAUUAAACAACGACAAAAUAAUUAACUACAAACGACGUAAUAAUUAACUAUAAACGAUGGAAUAUUUAUAUAACGUCGUGGUAUUGAUGUUCACACGACGUCAGUAGUAAUAUACCGUCGUCUAUAUAAGGAUCCAAAACCCUUCUUUCUUUCUCUGUGAAUGUUUGAUUGCAGAUUUGAUUUUUCUGAAUCAUGGUUUUUGUUUUCUAAUUUGAUAAAAUACAAGGCCAAGAAAGAAAGUUUUGGAAUCUUAUAUAGACGACGGUAUUUUAAUAUGACGUCGUGGUAUUAACAUUCACACGACGUAAAACAAUAAGAUACUGUCGUCUAUAUUAGAUACCAACCCUAAUUUCUUUUUCUUUAUAUUUUAUCAAAUUAGGGAAAAACAAAAACCAUUGUUCAGAGAAAUCAAACCUGCAAUUAAACAAGCAAAUAAAAAAAAGACUAUAAUUUUAAAAACAACUUUGUCAAUUUUCAGACGACGCUAGAACGACUGACGAACCGUCGUGGUCUACAUAUUUAACCACGUAAAUAAGAAGCUACCGUCGUCUUAUUUAGUUGAGGUAGUUGUCUUCAAAGUUGGAAACUUUCCCUCUUUGUCUGUAUAUUUAUUCGAACUUGGAAAGAAGUAAAAUGAUUUUGGCCAGAAAAAAGGUAAAAAGAUUUUUCAAACAAAAAACGUAUGAGCAUGCAAAACAGCAACCAAAAUAGUGAAAAUGAAAGCUUACCUUUUGCGUGCAAUGAAAGCAAGAGGAAGACGAUCGAUGUUUAAGUUCAGAGACGACGAAGAAGACGAGAGGAAGACGAUGAGAUACUCUGAAAGUGCUCUGACAAGGAAAAAAGUCUAAAAGUUUUCUCUGGGAGAUUGAAAUUUUUAAUCGGGUUUGGAAACAGUGCAUGUGUAAGACAGGUACACGAAAAGUUGCUUACAUAUAAAACCAUUUCAAAAAAUAAUACGGCGGUUACAUAUAACUACGACGUAUAAAUUACAAAAUACGACAGUACGUUUAACUUCGGACGUGGUAAAUAAGUACGACAGUAGUGUUGUAGGUACCGUCGUAGUAAACUCAAAAAUUAAAGUACAUAAGUAAUAACUCGCGUCAUGGUAGAUCAUUUAACACGUUGGUUUUAUUAAUGUACCGACGUGGAUUUAUGUAAUAUACGUCGGUCAUAACGACGUUGAUUUUAAAAUUUAAACAGCGGUUUUUUUGUAAGGACCGCCGUUGGUUUUAAAAAUUUAUUCUAUAAAUUUGUCGCUUUCAUUCAUUUUCGGUUUACAUUUAGGGUUCCAAGUUCUUCCUCUCUCAGAGACACUGUCUCUCACAUCUCAAAGACAGUAAUUUGGAUGUCUUUCUCAAAGAGAAAUUGAGCUUACUCGCAUCAAAUCUAUGUCCACAAGAAGAAGCUUGUCAACUAGCCUUCUCACUUCCUUGAUCAAGCCUGAUAGGACAUUUAGUGCUUCUGAAUACUCCUUGCUUUCCAUCAAAAGAGAUGCAAGCCUAGCCUCCACUCGCUGUCGAAGGAAAGUUCGCUUCUCAGGGAAAUCUGAAGAUCAGAUGUGCCUGAUCCUCUGCUUGAUUUUCUUGGCUAAGAAGAUCCGUCAGAUUUGUGAUAGCCUCUUCCUUUAUCCGUAGAGCUUCAGAAGAAGAAGAUGGGUUUCAAGAAUGCGAUAAAGAAUAGAAAUGGCUUCAUGAAUGCGAUAAAGCAUGAGCAAUCGAAUCAGUGCUUUGAACUAUACUCUGAACUAUACAAGUCAAUGCUUUGAACUAUACAAGUCCUGCAGAAAGAUAAAGGACCAAACUGUUAAAGAAACUAAAACUAUUAAAGAAACCAUAAACUAACACGACGCAAUAUUUGUUUUGCGACGUGGAAUCUUUUCAUUUAAUGUCGUUAGGUUUAAUAUAACCGACGUGGAUUUGAAUUGUUAAAUUAUGAAUAGAAAUUUUUUUCCCGUGACCUUUCAGUUUAUUUUUCAAUUACAGUGCGUUAUAAAUAGAGUUUUUUUUCCGGAGGAAAUUUAAAAUGAAGGAAAUUAAUGUUCUGGAUUAUGUUAAGUUUCUUUUUUGGAUGACAGAUUUCAAUUCUUGUCAUUAAGUAGAUCUACCGACGUAGGAUAAGAAAAUAAAGGAAAAAAUUGUUAACAAAAAUUCUUAUUAAGACGACGGUUUAAAUUAAAGGUACGACGUAUAAAAUUAAUAAAUACGACGUUAAAUUUUAUAGUACGAUUUAAAGAUAACGUCGUAGAACUAUAUGAGAAUAACGUCGAUAUAUUUAUAUUUUUCGUCGUUGUAAAUUAAUUUAAUACGGCGACAUUUUGUAUUUUAAGGCCGUCGAUUUAUUUGUAAUUAUACGGCGUCUUAUACGAAAAUUUCGUCGUGUUAUUUUAUGAGUAAAAACGGCGGCUUUUAUUGAAAUCGUCGUCUUUACUUUCUACGUCGGUCGAUUCAUAACUUAUGCCGUUCUUUGUUGGCUUUGAUUUUACACUGUGGAAAUCUGUUUCAAAUAGACGUCGGUUUUUUAAUUAGGUACGUCGUUGUUUUUGAACAGCCAUUUGAAUCUCCAUUUUUAGUUGUCUAAGGUGGUAUUACACGACGGUGUUUUUAGAACCGUCGACGGUUUUCACUUAGACCGUCGUUGUUUUCUGGUCGUCUUUUUCACUUUUUGUAGUAGUGUCGGUUUAGUCAGCAUGCUUGACAGUGCCCACGAGUCCCUUGGUACUCGGACUUGUGCGGAGCGAGGAAUGCGGAUCAGGCUGACUUAUGUCCCCUGAAUCCUGCGAGUUUGCGGCUCGAGUUGACCUUAUGUCACCGAGACCUGCGAGAGGAAUUGACGGAUCUCAGGAAUUGACAGACUUGUAACAAGUUUAAAUUUUAACACGAAGGGCAGUUAGGUUAUUUGUGCUCGGCACCUGCCAGGUGUUGAUCACGCACAGGGUUCGGCUCGGAUUCCAAAGUGGAAUUAGAGUCGGGUCCUGUCAUCCAUGAUAUCCCAAAAUGCCGAAAUAAGCCCAUACCCUUUUUAGCAUAUUGCGAAUUUAGCCUUAUUCUAAAUAGACAUCAUUAAACCUUUUUAUUAGGAAACUCACUCUACCCAAGGAGGAAGCUAGUCAGCAAAAACUUUCUAAAAAGGUUUUCUCUGCCAAACUCAAACGUUGGUAUCGAUUUCCAGCUAAAACUCAUCAAUUGAAGGUGUUGAAGAUCUAAUCCAGCAAAGACACAGCCAAUCUAGCCCAGUUCAGAAACAGCUACCCAGGCAGAAAUCGAAGUACAAUGUUCUGUUGUCUUUUUCGAAGUUGUCAUUUCACUUUUUAAGUCCUGUAAUAGGCAGUUCUGCCUAAGCAGUUUGUCUUCUUUUCAUUUAUUCUAGCAAGAACUACCAAUUUUGUACUGUGAAAAAUUAUGAAGUUUGAGGCAAGAAAAGAACUUACUUGGCCGAUAUUCCCUGCCCAAAUUCACAAUUGCUUGUUUACAAGUCAGUAACUUGGGGCACAAGUUAUCUAUGUUUUUAGAAGUUUGCUAAGGUUUUGAACUGCUAGCAGUGGCACGCUCACGCACAAAAGAAAGUUGACUUGUUGACCACCAAUGGUUGUCAAGCCAAUGAGGAACUUUACCCUACCAUCACAAGAUCAAAAUCAAAACGGGUGAACAGUUUCAAUUUAAAGAGCGAAAGCAACCUAGUUGAUUAAAGAACCUUUGAUUCUAAGAUUGGUUAUUAAAUGUGAUAAAAGUAUAAAGUUCUAAAUUUAUCAUAUUUGGAAGUUUUAUGAUCAUAGUUUGCAGAUAUUCACUUUAUCAUAUUUGGAAGUUUUAUGAUCAUAGUCUGCAGAUAUUCUAGCAACGGUUGAGUGAGCCAAAGCAACUCAAUCAUGACUAGUUUUCUGGAUUUAAGGUAUUGAUCAUAAUUGGCAUUAUAGGUGAAGGCGUGUUAAAAACUCUCUGUCCAAAGAUGUGAGUGGUUUGACAUGAAUACAUUUAUAAUGGAACAACAUGAGAGAUGCACUGCAUGAAUUAGCAAGGAAUUUCUUCAGUCCAAAGACGUGGGAGUUUAUUUGUUCAGGAAAUUCGUGUAUGUUCAUGUCCUAGUGUUGAAAACAUGUUUAAUCCUCUACCCAAAGGUGUGAAUUAAUCAUUUGAUUGAGGAUAUGGGGACAGAUUGAUCGUAUGAUAUAUUUUGGAAGAUUUCAGUUAUGUCACAAUGAACCUUAACUCCAUUGGCAUACAAUUUUGUUUUUGUUAUACAUAUUGUAACAUAUUUAAGUCGUUGAUGGUAAUUUAAUAUUGGUGAUCUUGAAUACUCAAGAAUAAAGACAAACUUGUCUGUUUUGGAUUAUUUUGUAACUCGAUUUUUGCUGACAGAUUCUUCAUUAUAAGUAAAGAUUAUUGAAUGACUCAGCUAAAAUUUGUUAAAUGACCUGAUUUUUGGAUAUGUUGUAGAUAUACGUGUUUUAUUAAAUACUGUAAAAUUUCAUAAUUAUUGGAUUACAGUUUAUUUAUGAGAAUUUUAUAAGUGAUAUGUGUUCAGGAAAAAGAAUGUGCUGGCAGUUUUUCUGAGUAACCUUGUAAGUCAAUUUCCAGAUUUUUUUCAGUUAGGUUAAACAACUCUAUAUUUUUUCUAUAUAAAGUUUUUUUUUUGGUGCAUACUUAAGUAGUGAGUGUUUGCCCAAGUGGGAGAAUUGAUGUAAGGUUUUGGGCUUCACACUCAUUAUCUUGGUUUUAUAAUUAUAUAAACUCAUAAAUUUUUGAGCAUAUGUAGAUGUUUAUUUCUUGUUACAUGGCAAAAUGAAGUUCUACACUAUUAAGUACUACGUAUGGGAUCAACACAUCAAAAUGAAGUUCUACACUAUUAUUUUUCUGACCAAUAUUUUGGAUGACUGGCUGUUUAUUUUUGGGAUCUAAAAUAUUCUUACCAUGCUUACUGUUUUCUACUUGUGUUGGUUAAAGAAAAUUGAAUUGGUGUUUAAGAUACAAGUGGAAUAAAGUUGAAUGCUUCCAUUACAAUUUUUGUUUUUCUCAUCUACGUGCAACUUACAUGUAAAGUUUGUUUGAGAAAGAACUGAAUAAAUUAAAUUUGAGUUCUAACUCUAAGGAUUGGAUUGCGAUAAAGUUUUAUAAUGUAUUAAUUCAUUUUAUACGAUAUUGAUCCCUUUUUGUAAAAUGCAAAAUAUAUAUAUAUAUUUUUAAAUAAAUCAAAGGAUUAUAAGCGAGAUUAGCUUUUCAGUAUCGGUCAUCAGAUGCACAAACAUCUACACCCUCAAAGAGGGGACCAAUACUUCAGAAGCCCCCUGCCCGUCCCCUUGAUCAUAAUUUAUUAAUAAGAAACAAAAAAAAGAUACAAGAACAACAGGGGGGGACCGAACCAAACCCUACAGAAGAGAAAGACAAGGACAGAAAUGCACAACAACAUGUUGACCUAAGAGACCAAAACUCUGAAAGAGUAAACAAAAGAAACUAGAACCGGUAAUUAGGCAUGUCCAGCCAGUCUCGCUGACAAAAAGGCAAAAUAAAAGAAGUGCAGUAUCCCACCAAAUUAAACCAGAGCCCAAAGCACCAUGAUUUACCAAAGCAUCAACAUCUUGAUUACCCUCACGAAAGAUAUGAGAAAUUUGAAAUGACAUGUGUUGGAGGCGAUGCAAGCAAUUUUUCCAAUCAACUCGUAGAAGCCAAUGCAAAAUAUAUGUUUUGAUGAGUGAAAGCAUUGGCACAUCACCCCUUCUCCGUUGGUCGAUGUGGGAUGUUACAAUCCACCUUUCUUAAGGGCCUGACAUCCUCGUCGGCACACUCGCACCGCACGGCAGAGUGGCUUUGAUACCAUUAUAUCACACCCCGGAUCGGCUCUAUCGUAGCACGAUAUUGUCCGCUUUGGGCCUCCCUCUCUGUCAUCACGAUUUUGUUUUUGGGAACUCACGAGCAACUUCCCAAUAGGUCACCUAUCCUGGUAUUGCUCUAGCUCAAACUUGCUUAACUUCGGAGUUCCCAUGACUCCGAAGCCAGUGAACUCCUAAAAGGCCUCAUGCUAGAUAUGGAGAUGAGCAUGUACAUAUAAGGCACAUCACUCUCAACACUUUAUAUCUCUCCUCCUUGUUUCUCUCUCCUCUUUCUCUUUAGUUUCCGGAAACAAAGGUCUUUUCAGCCUUCGGAGAGAUUCAUUCCCCACACUUCAAAAAUUCUCUGAUUUCAUGUAACUUGGGACACGCAAUGCAGCCAAAUAUCCUUUCUGAUCAACAUUAAUUAUAUUAUUCUCAUAACUAGAAAAUAAAAAAUACUCACAAGAUACUAGAUAUAGUACAACUUCAACUUUAUUGCACACAUACUUCCUAUUCCACUCCAAUACUUCCAGAAGUACACCUAUCUUCAUGCUUAAUUUACAAUACCAACAAUACCAUUUGUAUUAUGCUGCUACCACUACAGAUUCCCUCCUUGCACGGACAGAGAGGACGGAUUGACCAAUACUUGCAUGCUUCGCUUAUUGAGAGACAUUGCCAAAAGAGUUGUAAUAGUCUUCACUUUCUCUGUGGCCUUGAUGAUAACCAAGAACAAAAAUCGAUACAGAAGAAUCAUCCCUACCAAGAUUGCAAGAUCAACCCACUCAGAGUAACCCAUUUCGACUUGCCAUAUAUCUCUCAGAAUAUGUUCCCCACCGAGACUGGAUGUUUUUCCUCCUUGAUCACUGCUAGGAAAUGUUGUGCCUAUGAAUUCAUUUUUAAACAGUCCUUGAUAUGCAUACUUGUGGAACGCAAUGUAGUAUAAUGGGAACUUCCACAGAGGCUUGGGAAUAUCAUUUGGUAGUCGGAAGAAGCCGCCACACAUCAGCAUAAGCCCUUGAAUUCCAGCUCCGGCUAUUAUUCCCAUGAGGAAGUUGGGAACAAUGCUAGCAACUAUCAUCAUCAGGCUCUCAACCAGCAUCAUGCAAGCAAAUAACACACAAGCAAAGUAGACGAAGUGUUCAAAUCCUUUGUGAAGUCCCGCGACGUAAUAAGUUAUGGUGCCAGGAAUCACUGAAAUCAAUAUCAAGAAGGGAACAGAGGAAAAUGUGUUGGCAAAAACGAAUGCAGAAACACCAUAGUGCCCGUUUAAUCUUUCUCGUUCAAAUACCUGAGUUUACAAGAGAAAAACUAUGUUUAGCAACAUUAAUAUAUACGGCACUUAUGAUGUAAACUACAGAAGUGCAAAGCUUAGCAUAUCCAACCCUAUUCCAAAUUAGUUUACCUUCAUAUCUUCCACAAAAGAAGGGAAUCCACCGAUAGCCAUAAAAGUUAGAAAUGAAGAUACAAACAUGAGCAGCGAGCCUCUUGCCUGGAACAAUAGAAAUCUAAUAAGUUUUAUAUCAAUAUAUCCAACACUAUAAGACAGCUCUCGAACAAUUUCCUAUAUAGUGUUCUCUUGUCAAGCAAGUUAGGCUUAGAAAACUGUCAAUAUGAAUCACAUAUGACGUAAUACAUACACAGAACUCUUAAUGAUCAAUGCCUAAGUUUGAGAGAGUGUGAUGAUAUAUAACAUGUUAUCUUGUGAAUUAGAUGUAGAAAUUAUCAAGUUGAUUGUUGCAUAAAUGUUUCGUCCAUAUUAAAUUUGGCAACAUAAGCAUCUUAUGUACAAAACAAAUCACCUGAAUUGAUUCAUAACUAUGUCCAAGAUCUUGAUAGAUAGUGCCCAAGCCUAAGGCCAUGGUAAUGUAUACAGCCAGGCGCAACCAGUAGUAGCCUCGAUCUCGAUACAUGUUCAUGAAGGAUCUUCUUGUAAGUACGAAAGAUUGUGUAAGAAAUCCAGCAUGGCUUCUCUUCUCCAAUUCUUCACCGAAAUCCU
rnacentral:lncRNA from 1 species